UCUUCAUUUUGCACACUCUCUCGGCUGGUUGGGCGACGAGAGAGUGUGCGAAAUGAAGAGA
rnacentral:pre_miRNA from 1 species